rnacentral:sRNA from 1 species
AACAGCAGAGGCCAGACUGGGUUGAAGAAGCUCUGAGAGACCGACUGCCCAUCGCACCUCCAUCUCCCAUAUCCAACCUCACUCACCGAUUCACGCCGCCCACCAUGCCUAGCGAAGUCUCAGAUAUCAAGCAGUUCAUCGAGAUCUGCCGGCGGAAGGAUGCUUCAUCUGCCCGUAUCAAGCGCAACCGCAAGACUUCCCAGAUCAAGUUCAAGGUCCGGUGCCAACGAUUCCUCUACACCCUCGUCCUAAAGGAUUCCGACAAGGCAGACAAGCUCAAGCAGAGUCUACCACCCUCUCUCAAAAUCGCAGAUGUCUCCAAGGGAAACAAGAAGUCCACCUAGACGGAUGGUUUUGGGGUUUAAUGAAACGGGAGGGGUGGUGUUUGGGGAGGGUGUCUAAAUAAAAAUAAUAUUUAACCAAAAAAAAAAAUUGAAGAAAAAAUGAAUAACAAACAUUUCGUCGGACAUAUGACUGGUUUAACACUCAACUGGAAAUAGAUACACUACGAUUGAACGUGUGAACCUAUAGCUUAUUUUCAUUCUUGCCAAAGGGGCGCGGAUUAUCGAAUGGAAUGGAGAAAACAACCCCCUGUUCCCGUGGAUAUUCAACAGGGCAAAUAUCAACGGGAGCAAAGGUGCCAGAAUGCCUCUUGCUUUCUUUCUUCGUGGUGAUAUAAUGGCAAAGCUCGUGUUGAAGCGCUCCAGUCACUACUUAAGUACUCUCUUCUUGGGGACUUGACGUAGUCAAUGGCUUCUGGGUUUUUCGAAUGAAUGAUAGACUCCAGAGCUCGAUAGCUUUGGCAAUAGUCUUUUUGUCCUUUCUAUGUACCUCUUGAUUUUAAUUUCUUUUACUUCCUCUGUUUAUGAAUUCGUGGACCACAAUAUCUCAGGAGAAUCCCCACGAAACUAACCCCUAAUUGCUUCAUCCCCGUUCAUAGCCCAACUCCAUAUACUCCUCCACCCCACACCUUCUCAACAACUGCUCCCCCUCAUCCCCACCCAAUCCUCCCCUCCUUAACUCCACCUCCCCAAACACAUUCGGCUCAUCAGACACCUUCGUAAACCCCAAACUCAGAAACAACCCCAGACUGCGCGCAUUACCAGCGCCAAUCUUAGCAGACAGAUAUGCUAGUUUUCCCUCUCCCGCUACCACUUUUCCUAGUUUUGUCUCGUCCCGUCUCCAGUUAUCGUUAGCAGCAGCGCCCCCAGCAGCAGACGAUAACGAAGAAACAAACCCCCUCAUAAUUUCCACCUCAUGGUCCGCAAUAUACUUCAAAAAACAUACCAGUCCAGCCCUCCCAUACCCCUUACCCUGCUUCACUUUCUCUGCUAUCAUAAGUUCUAUUUCACCGACGACUCUUGCGCUGCUACCACCACCACCAGCAGCAGCAGGGAGAUGGCCGUUGCCACCUCUUUCAUCGUCCGCAUCUAGUCUCAGAAACAAAUUCACGUCUCCCAGCAUUGAUGCUGAGGCAUCGAUAUGUGGAUCAGUCAGCGGUGCCGUAGCUCGCACCUCUGCUGGUUGGCCGGCGUUUACAUCCUCUGCAGUUGAAGCAACACGAGCCACAGCCCCACCUGGUAACGAAGAUGGUGAAGAAGAAGAAGAUGAUGAUGAUGAUGAUGAUGAUUGUAGCGUUUGACGAAGCGGCAAACAGAUUAUAAAUGUUAAUUUAUCCGCAUCGGUGCGCCAGCUGGUUUGCAUGGCGUAUUCCUCCUCGAGGCUUAAUGGUUCGGAAGCGGUGGCUUGUUGGAUCUCCUGUGUGUUUGAUAUUAUCAUUUGUUAUCAUCAUCAUCAUCAUUAUUACUAUCCUUAUUAUUUUUUCGCUAAUGAGAAUUACAAUAUGUAAAUAUAUAUAGACCUACGGGGUCUUUCAUCCACUCAUGGUACUGCGGCACAUGGUGCUUGCAGUAUGGGACGAGCAGGACACGGGAGGACGAUAGGGCUGUAAGUUUGUGUCAGUUAGCGAGAUCUGGAUUUGUGUAGCUAUAUUUUGUGGGAUGGGUAUAAAUAAUGAUUGCAAGGUGGAAUUGAUAUGAUAUUUCGUCAACAUCGACACGAAAAAUGAUAUAAAGAAUUAAUUAAUUAAUAUGUUGCAUGUCUUGAGUUGGGCUGAGCGAGCUCGGUUUGUUGGCGGCAAGCAUGGUAUUUAUUUAUCCAUGGAAGUAUUAUGUUGCAUUCAUUACAUACCGGUCUUUUCGUUGAUGAGCAUAGUUCAAUUUGCCAAUUCGUUACGGAAUAGAUCAAGGCUCUUCUCAAACUCGAAGCGUCCUUGUGUGAUAUGUACGGUAUGCGUUGUGGCUCAUGAGGGCGAAACCGGGGGAAUGAAGCGGGAUGAGGUAAUGAUUAAGAUUGAUUUUUAUAUAAUUCUAAUAUGAUGGCGGGGAAAUGAGUUUGGGAUUGGACAUGAAUUUGUAAUACUAGUACAUAAAGAAGGGAUUUAUUGCUUUCUUCUCCCCCGUUCCUUUGUGCAGAGUGGGAACUUACCAAGAUAGGAAAUUAGGGUCUCCAUCUGAGAGUAAUUUGGUAAAUCAGUGCGAAAGUACAAGUUCAUCGCAAAUUUGAAUAACAUGAUAAAAAUGAUUUUCUGAUCGCCCAAGAGAGGAAAUUCUAAUGUGCUUCGCUAUAUCUAUUUGUUUAUGGCGAUUAUGUCGUUCUGUAAUCAUAAUGAAGCUACUAUGCCGACGUCUCAGUGUUUUCUUUAAGCAUGGAGGCAGCAAUAUACCCCCCCGCUCAAACAGCUAGCCGUGAUACAUAAGACGUGCGUGAAUAAUUCCCAACAAAUUAUUAAUCAUGGACUAUAAGAAAAGAGAAGUGCACGCCCUACUCCAUUUUCAUCUCGCUAUCGCCAUUCACCUCAAGGUUCUCCUUCUCAAAGGUACCAAACUUCACAACUUCCAAUUCCAACGUUUCCGCAUCAACGAGCACGAUCUCGCCCGUCUGGCUGAACUUCGGAAGCGCUAUUACGCGCACGCGGGUGCCUUGCUCCUCGCCAUUAUCUGCCGAAGAUAAGGUAGUGGAAGCUUCGACAAUUCCCGUUCGGAAACUUGGUUGGUUCCCUGCAAAGAAAACGUGCGGACAGGAUUGGAGAGUGAAUGGGUCGCGAUACAAAUCAAAACGUCGAGGAUAACGGGGGCCAGGGAGGAAGAGAACAAAACAUCCAAAAAAAAAAAAAAAAAAAAAAAAAAAACUUACAUAACGUAUCCGGAGCAGUGGGCACAGCACACCGCCAUCUUAGCAUUGCUUCCAUUAGUCGUAAUCGCGCCUCACCGUCCUUGUCACUUUCACUGCCCUGAAGAGUAUCCCCUUCCACUUCCAAAUCUAUGUAGCGAAGCACAUCGUCAACAUUCUGCCCACUGCAGCCCCAAAACCUCCAGCCUUCCACAUCACCUUCCCAGGGAUUCGUCACGUUAUCUAGCCAACCCGGUUCCGCAGCGGGCUCAGCCGCUCCCGGGCGCGCUGCAGAACAAUAGGCUUUUGAACGCGGAAACAUGGCCCUGUGGAUUUCCUGCUGGGGCAAUGAGAAAUUCGCAGGAUCGGUUUCGCCGGGCAUGAGGGUUAUGGGAAUACUAGGGAGGAUCUCGGCAAGGAAUGUAUCGAAAUGAUUGAUGGGCGAAGCGUUGUAAGCUGUGGCAUCGUAGCCAUGCUUUUUAGGAGCGUGGCGCUUUUUCGCCAGCGCGGGAUCAGCAUUCUCGGCUUCGGAUUGAGAGAUGAUCAUGCUGCUUCUGAGGGAAUUUCCGGCAAUUAUGAGGCGGGUUAUCUGGGAUGAAGAUGGGGGGUUAUUGUUGUUUUGUGUUUGAGUGGGAAACUCGUUAUAUCCGAGAAGGUAUUCCGUUAAGAGGGAGAGGGCGACUGUAUCUCCAGACGUGCCGGUGAUGUUAAGACCGCUGACUAGAGCUAUCUUUUUUCUUCUUCCUUCAAUGCUGUCACUGCUUGCUUCGAGGGAGCUGUGCUUCCGCUUCGCAGACUCUUGAGGAGCAGAUGACCUCUCCCAGCGCUCGGGUUGAGGUGGUAGAUCAGGUACCUUAAUAUCGAUCACCUCAAAAUCGCCAUUGGCGUUCUCCGUGCCGAGGACCGCAACUAUUGCCCCUGUGACGAGAAGAGACGAUUGAAGUAAAGUUCCGGUCAGCUGCAAACGGCCAGACUCAUCUUCUAGCAUUGUCUUUGUCAAUGCUUGAUUUGAAGGGUCAACAUAUGUUCUUCGAACGGGCGGAGCGGCAGUCCAAUGUUCUUUUGAGAUGUCGUCUAAAAUGUUAGGUUUC